rnacentral:lncRNA from 1 species
UGACAACCACCAUACCCACUUCUUCUACUCCUGGGGAGUCAAGCUGACGUUGAUGUCAGGUGAAGCCCUGUGCGCCAUGGGCGGUGAGCUUGCAGGCCAGCCAACCAUGGUGAAGCCCGUCGUGUUCAGGUUCAUCGCGCCGUGCUCCACGGUGGCAUGGGGUUGUGGAGAUGCUGCGGACGCUGGUGGCCCAUGGUAGCCGUUACCCGGAGCAGCCUGAGAGAUCGGCAUUGCCGCUGUGAGAAGUGGAGGGGGAACCACAGGUGCAGGGAGUGCCG